rnacentral:misc_RNA from 1 species
UUACAGAAAAGGAAAUAAGGCUGUGGCAUAAAGGCUUCUUAAAGGAUUGCCCGAAUGGCUUGCUCACGGAACAGGGCUUCAUUAAGAUUUAUAAGCAGUUCUUCCCUCAAGGUGACCCCAGCAAAUUUGCUUCGUUGGUCUUUCGGGUUUUCGACGAAAACAAUGACGGAUCUAUCGAGUUCGAAGAGUUUAUUAGAGCUCUCUCGGUGACGUCACGGGGUAAUCUAGACGAGAAAUUACAUUGGGCAUUCCGCUUAUACGAUGUUGACAACGAUGGAUACAUAACACGAGAUGAAAUGUACAACAUAGUCGACGCAAUCUACCAGAUGGUCGGGCAAACACCACAGCCAGAAGAUGAGAACACUCCACAAAAGCGCGUCGAUAAGAUCUUCGAUCAGAUGGACAAGAAUCAUGAUGAUCGCCUCACGCUCGAAGAAUUCCGCGAAGGAAGUAAAGCUGACCCUCGUAUUGUCCAGGCAUUAUCUCUGGGAGGCGAUUAAUCGACGAUCAUCCUCUCCCCGGAUUUCUCAUUAUUCCCUGAAGAUUAAAGCACCUCUUUCAGUCUUCUAUUAAUGUUAAAAUCUUGUUUUUAAGUAUUAUACGCUGUGUACAAUUUCCCAUUAAUUCUUAAUUAAUUUCGUAUUUGCCAAUAUGAACAAAAAUCAGAAUUAAAAUAGUCUUUUGAAAAAAUUACCGAAACUUACACCUAGCAAAAGCUAUAAAUAUGGUAGACAACUAUGGUACCUAUUGAAGAUAGGUAUUUUAGCUGCUUCAAGAUAAAAAUUUAGGUAUGCGGCACUAUGCCAAUUGGAUGACCUGUUCUUGAGUUUACAUCUUCACGAGCCAACAACCUGGAUAGUUUACUACUUAGAAAAUAUAUUUUUAAUCAAUUGUGUUUUCUUUGGCAACGUUAUAAAAAUUUUAAAACUUGAUUUUGAUUAAUUGAUUAUCGGAGGUGAUACACCUGUAAAAGAAGAUAAUGAAAUCAUUGUUAAAUUAUAGUACCUAAUUAUCUUAUUAUAAGAAUUGUACAAGUCAUAUUUUAGCCAAAAAUAUAUUUUUAAUUCGUCAUGAAAUAUAAUAAUUAUGUAGUGUAAUAAAAAAAUGAUACAGAAAACCUAUAAUAAUCAGUUCCAAUAUACUGCAUCGUAUAUUUCGUGUUGGCAAAUUUACUAUAUAAUGUCUAUGUUUUAAUUUCCUUAAAUACAUUUCGACCCCUAUGUCUAGUUUUGCCGAAAUAAUACCUUUCCAAUAAUGAGAUAAAAUUCGUGCGAGAGUGUGACCGUUGAUAAAAUUACCAAUAUUAAUACUACAAAUCAUUAGAUUUGUUUCGAUAAAACCUUAAGAUACAGUAAAAGUAGCACGACAUUCACCGAUACCACCGCUCAGUACGAAGAUACAAAGUUUUCAUGAUACCAUAAAUGUACGACAACAAUUAAAAUCACGAAUUAUAUAUAAUCACUUAACGUAAUAAUUUUUCAAAUAUUACAUGUACACAUAAAUCUUCGUGCUACAAAUCAAAAAUAUGACGAGUAUUUUAUUAUUUCUAUAUAAACUAUAUUAUAAUCGAUAAAC